GCCUUUCUGGUGUACUGGUCAGCACGCUGGGCUCGUAUUCCAGAGGCCCGUGGUUCGAGUCCUGGCAAAGGCG
rnacentral:tRNA from 1 species